GGAUGGGUGGCUGGGUGGAGGAGUGGGUGCGGGUUGUAACGGUCGGGGGUACAGAUUGCUGCAAUUAGCUUAAUGAGUAGACGAACCUCCAGCCAAUCCCCUCCUGGACCAUUUCCACUUAUGGUCUGGUUCUGGUGUGUGCCGGCAGAUGCCAGACCUGAUUACCUUGUUAGUGACUCGGGCUUCGACCUCAAUUCUAGUUUCUUAAUCGUUUUAAUGGACAAAUAGCAACGCAAUGUGAUGUGCUUCUUAUUUUUCAGCAUAUUUGUAGUUGAGGUAUCUGGUCCUUCUUGCGAAUAAUGCUACCUCAAAAAAUUUAAAAGCACUAUUCAGAUUUUUGGUUCUUAUUCAUUUGUGUAAAUGGUAGAAGAUCAUUCAAAUCUUUUUGUGUGCUCUGAACGAAGUAAUUCCUGUCCAAUUUGGUCUGCCAUUUGCCAGAUGGGAGACACAAAUUGAGAUAUUCUGUUAGUCUUCAUCUACUCCAUCACGAAAGCAAAGGAGCAAACACAUCACGCAGAGUUGAGCUCAGAGGUCACGGGGAACCUGGAGCCUAUCCCAGGGAGCAUCGGGCACAAGGCGGGGUACACCCUGGACACGGUGCCAAUCCAACUAUGGUUCUUUUACAGUGGAGAGUUUGAUGGGAACGGAGGUAGCAGUGAUAUCAGGGUUUUUGACGGUUAUAUGCAGGCAGAGGAACAAAACAUAAAUACACAUUCAGCUUUUCCUACAAUUCUGCUCCCAGAUUCGUUUUUGAGCAAAUUCUUUUCAGCAGAAAAUUGCAUCUCGGUGCGUAUCCUGUUCUCUCAGAGAGAUCUGCCCGCUCAGAUGACGCGGUUGCGGUGCUGUUGACGAAGACAGCUUGCGAAACAGAAGGCGUUUUAGGAAAAUGUGUCCAGGUUCAAUGGCUUAUGAAAUUUGUUGAUGCUCCAGCAAGUAAAUAAAUAAAUUAAUAAAC
ensembl:lncRNA